GGACUACUAGGGUAUCUAAUCCCGUUUGCUCCCCUGGCUUUCGCACCUCAGCGUCAGAAAUCAGCCAGUGCAUCGCUUUCGCCGCCGGAGUUCCUUCCGAUAUCAACGCAUUUCACCGCUCCACCGGAAAUUCCAUGCACCCCUCUGAUCCUCAAGCACCACAGUAUCGGACGCAGUUCCUCGGUUAGGCCGAGGGAUUUCACAUCCGACUUAUGGCACCGCCUACGUGCGCUUUAUGCCCAGUGAUUCCGAACAACGCUCGCCACCUUCGUCUUACCGCGGCGGCUGGCAC
rnacentral:rRNA from 2 species